UACCGCAUACGUCCUACGGGAGAAAGCAGGGGGACCUUCGGGGCCUUUGCGCUAUCAGAUGAGCCUAGGUCGGAUUAGCUAGUUGGUGAGGUAAUGGCUCACCAAGGCGACGAUCCGUAACUGGUCUGAGAGGAUGAUCAGUCACACUGGAACUGAGACAGGUCCAGGACUCCUACGGGAGGCAGCAGUGGGGAAUAUUGGACAAUUGGGCGAAAAGCCUUGAUCCAGCCAUGCCGCGUGUGUGAAGAAGGUCUUCGGAUUGUAAAGCACUUUAAGUUGGGAGGAAGGGUUGUAGAUUAAUACUCUGCAAUUUUGACGUUACCGACCAGAAUAAGCACCGGCUAAACUCUGUGCC
rnacentral:rRNA from 1 species